rnacentral:rRNA from 1 species
AAAUUGAAGAGUUUGAUCAUGGCUCAGAUUGAACGCUGGCGGCAGGCCUAACACAUGCAAGUCGAACGGUAACAGAAAGCAGCUUGCUGCUUUGCUGACGAGUGGCGGACGGGUGAGUAAUGUCUGGGAAACUGCCUGAUGGAGGGGGAUAACUACUGGAAACGGUAGCUAAUACCGCAUAACGUCACAAGACCAAAGAGGGGGACCUUCGGGCCUCUUGCCAUCGGAUGUGCCCAGAUGGGAUUAGCUAGUAGGUGGGGUAACGGCUCACCUAGGCGACGAUCCCUAGCUGGUCUGA